rnacentral:rRNA from 1 species
UACAGAGGUCUCAAGCGUUGUUCGGAUUCAUUGGGCGUAAAGGGUGUGUAGGUGGCGCCGUAAGUCGGGUGUGAAAUUUCGGAGCUUAACUCCGAAACUGCAUUCGAUACUGCGGUGCUUGAGGACUGGAGAGGAGACUGGAAUUCAUGGUGUAGCAGUGAAAUGCGCAGAUAUCAGGAGGAACACCGAUGGCGAAGGCAGGUCUCUGGGCCAUAACUGACGCUGAGAAGCGAAAGCAUGGGGAGCGAACAGGA